GAUGAACGCUGGCGGCGUGCCUAAUACAUGCAAGUCGAGCGAACAGAUAAGGAGCUUGCUCCUUUGACGUUAGCGGCGGACGGGUGAGUAACACGUGGGGAACCUACCUAUAAGACUGGAAUAACUCCGGGAAACCGGGGCUAAUGCCGGAUAACAUUUAGAACCGCAUGGUUCUAAAGUGAAAGAUGGUUUUGCUAUCACUUAUAGAUGGACCCGCGCCGUAUUAGCUAGUUGGUAAGGUAACGGCUUACCAAGGCAACGAUACGUAGCCGACCUGAGAGGGUGAUCGGCCACACGGGAACUGAGACACGGUCCAGACUCCUACGGGAGGCAGCAGUAGGGAAUCUACCGCAAUGGGCGAAAGCCUGACGGAGCAACGCCGCGUGAGCGAUGAAGGUCUUCGGAUCGUAAAACUCUGUUAUUAGGGAAGAACAAAUGUGUAAGUACCUGUGCACGUCUUGACGGUACCUAAUCAGAAAGCCACGGCUAACUACGUG
rnacentral:rRNA from 1 species